CCUACGGGCGGCAGCAGUGGGGAAUAUUGGACAAUGGGCGAAAGCCUGAUCCAGCCAUGCCGCGUGUGUGAAGAAGGCCUUCGGGUUGUAAAGCACUUUCAGUGGGGAAGAAAGCCUUGGGGCUAAUACCCUCGAGGAAGGACAUCACCCACAGAAGAAGCACCGGCUAACUCCGUGCCAGCAGCCGCGGUAAUACGGAGGGUGCGAGCGUUAAUCGGAAUUACUGGGCGUAAAGCGCGCGUAGGCGGUCUGAUAAGCCGGUUGUGAAAGCCCCGGGCUCAACCUGGGAACGGCAUCCGGAACUGUCAGGCUAGAGUGCAGGAGAGGAAAGUAGAAUUCCCGGUGUAGCGGUGAAAUGCGUAGAGAUCGGGAGGAAUACCAGUGGCGAAGGCGGUCUUCUGGACUGACACUGACGCUGAGGUGCGAAAGCGUGGGUAGCAAACAGGAUUAGAUACCCGGGUAGUC
rnacentral:rRNA from 1 species